GGCCAAGUUUUUAAGGGCGCACGGUGGAUGCCUUGGUACCAGGAACCGAUGAAGGACGUGGGAGGCCACGAUAGUCCCCGGGGAGCCGUCAACCAGGCUUUGAUCCGGGGGUUUCCGAAUGGGGAAACCCGGCAGUCGUCAUGGGCUGUCACCCACAUCUGAACACAUAGGGUGUGUGGAGGGAACGCGGGGAAGUGAAACAUCUCAGUACCCGCAGGAAGAGAAAACAACCGUGAUUCCGGGAGUAGUGGCGAGCGAAACCGGAUGAGGCCAAACCGUAUACGUGUGAGACCCGGCAGGGGUUGCGUGUACGGGGUUGUGGGAUCUCUCUUUCACAGUCUGCCGGCUGUGAGACGAGUCAGAAACCGUUGGUGUAGGCGAAGGACAUGCGAAAGGUCCGGCGUAGAGGGUAAGACCCCCGUAGUCGAAACAUCAACGGCUCGUUUGAGAGACACCCAAGUAGCACGGGGCCCGAGAAAUCCCGUGUGAAUCUGGCGGGACCACCCGCUAAGCCUAAAUAUUCCCUGGUGACCGAUAGCGGAUAGUACCGUGAGGGAAUGGUGAAAAGUACCGCGGGAGCGGAGUGAAAUAGUACCUGAAACCGUGUGCCUACAAGCCGUGGGAGCGUCGCUCAUCAAGUUUACUUGGUGGGUCGUGACUGCGUGCCUUUUGAAGAAUGAGCCUGCGAGUUUGCGGUGUGUUGCGAGGUUAACCCGUGUGGGGAAGCCGUAGCGAAAGCGAGUCCGAACAGGGCGAUAUCAGUAGCGCGCUCAAGACCCGAAGCGGAGUGAUCUAGCCAUGGGCAGGUUGAAGCGGCUGUAAGAGGUCGUGGAGGACCGAACCCACCAGGGUUGAAAACCUGGGGGAUGACCUGUGGUUAGGGGUGAAAGGCCAAUCAAACUCCGUGAUAGCUGGUUCUCCCCGAAAUGCAUUUAGGUGCAGCGUCGUGUGUUUCUUGCCGGAGGUAGAGCACUGGAUAGGCGAUGGGCCCUACCGGGUUACUGACCUUAGCCAAACUCCGAAUGCCGGUAAGUGAGAGCACGGCAGUGAGACUGUGGGGGAUAAGCUCCAUGGUCGAGAGGGAAACAGCCCAGAGCAUCGACUAAGGCCCCUAAGCGUACGCUAAGUGGGAAAGGAUGUGGAGUCGCAGAGACAACCAGGAGGUUGGCUUAGAAGCAGCCACCCUUGAAAGAGUGCGUAAUAGCUCACUGGUCUAGUGAUUCCGCGCCGACAAUGUAGCGGGGCUCAAGCGUACCGCCGAAGUCGUGUCAUUUCAGCAUAUAGGGCCAACGCCCGCUGGGAUGGGUAGGGGAGCGUCGUGUGCCGGGUGAAGCCGCAGCGGAAGCUAGUGGUGGACGGUUCACGAGUGAGAAUGCAGGCAUGAGUAGCGAUACACACGUGAGAAACGUGUGCGCCGAUUGACUAAGGGUUCCUGGGUCAAGCUGAUCUGCCCAGGGUAAGUCGGGACCUAAGGCGAGGCCGACAGGCGUAGUCGAUGGAUAACCGGUUGAUAUUCCGGUACCCGCUGUGAAGCGUCAAACAGUGAACCAGGCGAUGCUAAGUCCGUGAAGCCGCCCUGGAGCCUUCGGGCAAAGGGGAGUGGUGGAGCCGACGGACCAGACCUGUAGUAGGUGAGUGAUGGGGUGACGCAGGAAGGUAGUCCAGCCCGGGCGGUGGUUGUCCCGGGGUAAGGGUGUAGGCCGUGUGACAGGUAAAUCCGUCGCACAUUAAGGCUGAGACCUGAUGCCGAGCCGAUUGUGGUGAAGUGGAUGAUCCUAUGCUGUCGAGAAAAGCCUCUAGCGAGUUUCAUGGCGGCCCGUACCCUAAACCGACUCAGGUGGUCAGGUAGAGAAUACCGAGGCGUUCGGGUGAACUAUGGUUAAGGAACUCGGCAAAAUGCCCCCGUAACUUCGGGAGAAGGGGGGCCAUCACUGGUGAUCCGUUUUACACGGUGAGCUGGGGGUGGCCGCAGAGACCAGCGAGAAGCGACUGUUUACUAAAAACACAGGUCCGUGCGAAGCCGUAAGGCGAUGUAUACGGACUGACGCCUGCCCGGUGCUGGAACGUUAAGGGGACCGGUUAGUGCACUUUCGGGUGUGCGAAGCUGAGAACUUAAGCGCCAGUAAACGGCGGUGGUAACUAUAACCAUCCUAAGGUAGCGAAAUUCCUUGUCGGGUAAGUUCCGACCUGCACGAAUGGCGUAACGACUUCUCGACUGUCUCAACCAUAGGCCCGGUGAAAUUGCACUACGAGUAAAGAUGCUCGUUUCGCGCAGCAGGACGGAAAGACCCCGGGACCUUUACUACAGUUUGAUAUUGGUGUUCGGUUCGGCUUGUGUAGGAUAGCUGGGAGACUGUGAAGUCAUGGCGCCAGCCAUGGUGGAGUCGUCGUUGAAAUACCAGUCUGGUCGUGCUGGAUGUCUAACCUGGGUCCGUGAUCCGGAUCAGGGACAGUGUCUGAUGGGUAGUUUAACUGGGGCGGUUGCCUCCUAAAGAGUAACGGAGGCGCCCAAAGGUUCCCUCAGCCUGGUUGGCAAUCAGGUGUUGAGUGUAAGUGCACAAGGGAGCUUGACUGUGAGACCGACGGGUCGAGCAGGGACGAAAGUCGGGACUAGUGAUCCGGCGGUGGCUUGUGGAAGCGCCGUCGCUCAACGGAUAAAAGGUACCCCGGGGAUAACAGGCUGAUCUUCCCCAAGAGUCCAUAUCGACGGGAUGGUUUGGCACCUCGAUGUCGGCUCGUCGCAUCCUGGGGCUGGAGUCGGUCCCAAGGGUUGGGCUGUUCGCCCAUUAAAGCGGUACGCGAGCUGGGUUUAGAACGUCGUGAGACAGUUCGGUCCCUAUCCGCUGUGCGCGUAGGAAUAUUGAGAAGGGCUGUCCCUAGUACGAGAGGACCGGGACGGACGAACCUCUGGUGUGCCAGUUGUCCUGCCAAGGGCAUGGCUGGUUGGCUACGUUCGGGAGGGAUAACCGCUGAAAGCAUCUAAGCGGGAAGCCUGCUUCGAGAUGAGUAUUCCCACCAACUAGAUUGGUUAAGGCUCCCAGUAGACGACUGGGUUGAUAGGCCGGAUGUGGAAGCCUCGUAAGGGGUGAAGCUGACCGGUACUAAUAGGCCGAGGGCUUGUCCUC
rnacentral:rRNA from 1 species